UGACGGUGAUAAGGACAAUUUUUGAGCAUGCCCUUGAAUCUCUCCCAAGAUUGGUAGAGAUUUUCUCCAUCUUUCUGUUUGAAACUCAUUAUCUUACUCUUCAAUCG
rnacentral:snoRNA from 1 species